rnacentral:rRNA from 1 species
UACGUAGGGUCCGAGCGUUGUCCGGAUUUAUUGGGCGUAAAGAGCUCGUAGGCGGUUCCGUAGGUCAGAUGUGAAAACUCAGGGCUCAACCCGGAGACGCCAUCUGAUACUGCGGUGACUGGAGUCUGGUAGGGGAACACGGAAUUCCUGGUGUAGCGGUGAAAUGCGCAGAUAUCAGGAGGAACACCGAUGGCGAAGGCAGUGUUCUGGGCCAGUACUGACGCUGAGGAGCGAAAGCGUGGGGAGCAAACAGG